rnacentral:lncRNA from 1 species
AUCAUCUUUACAUGACUUUCUGUCAUAUCUUCAUAUCCUACAUUGGGUAAUUUAAACACACCAUAAUCACCCUUGUAUUUUUAUGUUCUGUGUAUUUUGCAUGGACAGCCGCUGUAGGCGUCCCUCUGGUCAUGUUGUUGGUUGUUUUUUUGGUUGCUUUCUUGCUUUGCCGACAGCGUGAGCAACACCAGAGGGUACCCAAUGAGAGGUCCACUGAUCCAGAGCAAUUGAGACCCCUUGAUGAUGAGGCCAACCGCAGACGGGAAGAUGAUGGUGCCCAGGAAGCGGAAGGACUCCACAGUGUCGACUGGGGAGUCUCUCAGGGUGAUGAUGCUAGGUGGGGCUGUGUUCUUUCUGAAUUCUACAACCAUCUCCACUGUUUUCAGAGCGUUGACCUCCAGGUUGUUCUGUCCACACCAGGUCACCAGAUGGUCAAUCUCCCACCUGUAGGUUGACUCAUCCCCACCAGAGAUGAGCACUAUGAGAGUCGUGUCAUCCGCGAACUUAAAGAGCUUGACGGACUAGUGACGGGAUGUGCAGCUGUUGGUGUACAGGGAGAAGAGUAGAAGGGAAAGAACGCAGCCUUGAGGGGAGCCGGUGUUAAUGGCACGAGUCAGAGACAUUUUCAUUCUACUGUCGGCAUGGUCUGAGCUCUACUCGCCGUUUGCGAGACUGUGAAAUGUACUUUAUUUUUCAUAUUCCAUUUUCAAG